CCGGCCACUUCCCAAACGGUUUAACGUUUUAAAGGACACAGGGUAUCCGGAAAAUUUUUGCAUUUACAUCAAGAUCAGUAGGCCUGCUGAAACUCCAAAGUCUAUCAACGAUGCCAAAAAAGUAAAGGAAGAGAAAAAGGAACAAAGAGGCUUGCGAGGAGUGAGGACGAAGCGCCACGCAAGUUCACGGACAAGAUCCCGCUCACCACCG
rnacentral:rRNA from 1 species